UACAGAGGUCUCAAGCGUUGUUCGGAUUCAUUGGGCGUAAAGGGUGCGUAGGUGGCGCUGUAAGUCGGGUGUGAAAUUUCGGAGCUCAACUCCGAAACUGCAUUCGAUACUGCGGUGCUUGAGGACUGGAGAGGAGACUGGAAUUCAUGGUGUAGCAGUGAAAUGCGUAGAGAUCAUGAGGAAGACCAGUGGCGAAGGCGGGUCUCUGGACAGUUCCUGACACUGAGGCACGAAGGCCAGGGGAGCAAAACGGG
rnacentral:rRNA from 1 species